UACGUAGGGGGCAAGCGUUGUCCGGAUUUAUUGGGCGUAAAGAGCGUGUAGGCGGUCAGGUAGGUCCGUUGUGAAAACUCGAGGCUCAACCUCGAGACGCCGAUGGAAACCAUCUGACUAGAGUCCGGAAGAGGAGAGUGGAAUUCCUGGUGUAGCGGUGAAAUGCGCAGAUAUCAGGAAGAACACCGGUGGCGAAGGCGGGUCUCUGGGCAGUAACUGACGCUGAGGAGCGAAAGCGUGGGGAGCGAACAGG
rnacentral:rRNA from 1 species